rnacentral:rRNA from 1 species
GAGUAGCACUUGGGGAACCUGCCCUUGAGUGGGGAACAUGUCCGAAAGACGUAAAUCCCGCAUAACAUCUUCCGCUCGCAUGUGUGGAAGAUCAAAGGCGCCCUCUGUUUCAAGGUGCCGCUUGAGGAUGGCCCCGAGUCCUAUUAGCUUGUUGGUGAGGUAACGGCUCACCAAGGCGAUGAUGGGUAGCUGGCCUGAGAGGGUGGUCAGCCACACUGGGACUGAGAUACGGCCCAGACUCCUAAGGGAGGCAGCAGUCGAGAGGCAUCCGCAAUGGGCGAAAGCCCGACGGUGCGACGCCGCGUGGACGAUGAAGGCCCUAGGGUUGUAAAGUCCUGUCACAGGAGGGAGAACAACACCCAUCUUAAUAGGCUGGGUGUCUGACGUUGCUCCUGGAGAAAGACCCGGCUAACUCCGUGCCAGCAGCCGCGGUAAUACGGAGGGGUCGAGCGUUAUUCGGAUUCACUGGGCGUAAAGGGCGCGUAGGCGGGGUCGUGGGUCGGCCGUGAAAUCCACCGGCUCAACCGGUGAACUGCGGUCGAAACUACGACUCUUGAGCUCGGUAGAGGAAGGCGGAAUUCCUGGUGUAGCGGUGGAAUGCGUAGAUAUCAGGAGGAACACCGGUAGCGAAGGCGGCCUUCUGGGCCGUAGCUGACGCUGAGGCGCGAAAGCCGGGGGAGCGAACAGGAUUAGAUACCCUGGUAGU